rnacentral:tRNA from 1 species
GACACUUUGGCCGAGUGGUUAAGGCGGUAGACUCGAAUCUUGAUCCGACAUCUACUUCAUUCGUGAGCGCAGGUUCAAAUCCUGCAGGUGUCG